GCAGGGGAGUGUCAGACUUGAGGACAAGCAUGCCUACUUUGUGGCCUCGAUGCGCAGGAAGCGCUUGGAAGAAGAGAAAGGCAUCCUCGUGAAGGAGAUGGAACAGCACACUACAUCACUGAAAAGAUUGAUGUCUUGUCUAGAAGCAAAGAUGUCAUCGGCAGAGUCACAAAAUGAGGGCCUUUCUGCCUUCUGUCGAAGACGGCUUCAUGACCUGACAAUCGUCCAUCUUUCUGCUGUGGCAAGCUACAGGGCUGUUUUAAGCCCACAGGGGACCAAUAGGCCAUCUUGUGAGGAAGGGCAGGGAGAUGACGGGAAUGAGGACGAUGUACACAGCAGUGAUUUCUCAUACACCAGUGAUGAGGAAGAAACGGAGUGUAGUUCUUUAAUCUGAGACGGUUUGGAAUCAUCAAUCAUCAUUCCUUGACACCCGCAGCUGUCUCCUUUCUCCUGCUUUCUCCAACACACCAACAGCCUCUCUCUGUCCUGCUCUCCUCUGUCUCCUCCAUCCUGAUCUCCAGUGCA